rnacentral:rRNA from 1 species
AGUGAACGCUGGCGGUAGGCCUAACACAUGCAAGUCGAACGGCAGCACAGUAAGAGCUUGCUCUUACGGGUGGCGAGUGGCGGACGGGUGAGGAAUACAUCGGAAUCUACUUUUUCGUGGGGGAUAACGUAGGGAAACUUACGCUAAUACCGCAUACUCCCUACGGGUGAAAGCAGGGGAUCUUCGGCCCUUGCGCGAUUGAAUGAGCCGAUGUCGGAUUAGCUAGUUGGCGGGGUAAAGGCCCACCAAGGCGACGAUCCGUAGCUGGUCUGAGAGGAUGAUCAGCCACACUGGAACUGAGACACGGUCCAGACUCCUACGGGAGGCAGCAGUGGGGAAUAUUGGACAAUGGGCGCAAGCCUGAUGCAGCCAUACCGCGUGGGUGAAGAAGGCCUUCGGGUUGUAAAGCCCUUUUGUUGGGAAAGAAAAGCAGAAGGUUAAUACCCCGCUGUUCUGACGGUACCCAAAGAAUAAGCACCGGCUAACUUCGUG